GUCUCCGUGGCGCAAUUGGUUAGCGCGUUCGACUGUUAAUCGAGAGGUUGACAGUUCAAUCCUGUCCGGGGACG
rnacentral:tRNA from 2 species